AACGAACGCUGGCGGCAUGCCUAACACAUGCAAGUCGAACGAGCCCUUCGGGUCUUGUGCCGCGCGGGUGCGUAUCGCGUGUGGACCUGCCCUUUGUUUCUCAAUAUCUCCCCGAAAGAGUUGCUCUUACCGCAUAUUGUCUUUGUUCCAAAGAUUUUUCGCCUUUGGAUGGGCCCGCGUUGGAUUAGCUAGUUGGUAGGGUAAAAGCCUACCAAGGCGACGAUCAAUAGCUGGUCUGAGAGGAUGAUCAGCCACACUGGGACUGAGACACGGCCCAGACUCCUACGGGAGGCAGCAGUGGGGAAUAUUGGACAAUGGGCGAAAGCCUGAUCCAGCAAUGCCGCGUGAGUGAUGAAGGCCUUAGGGUUGUAAAGCUCUUUUACCCGGGAUGAUAAUGACAGUACCGGGAGAAUAAGCUCCGGCUAACUCCGUG
rnacentral:rRNA from 1 species